rnacentral:rRNA from 1 species
ACUGCGGGCGACAAGGUUAGUAGUCGAGAGGGAAACAGCCCAGACCGUCGGCUAAGGUCCCCAAUAGUAUGCUAAGUGUGAAAUGAUGUGCCAUGGCGCAGACAGCCAGGAGGUUGGCUUAGAAGCAGCCAUUCCUUCAAAGAGUGCGUAAUAGCUCACUGGUCGAGUCAUGACGCGCAAACAAUGUAACGGGGCUAAGCAUACAACCGAAGCCGCGGGUUUCGUAAGCAAUUACGAGACGGUAGGGGAGCAUUCCACAUACCGACGAAGGUAUACUGGGAAGUAUACUGGAGGGAGUGGAAGAGAGAAUGCAGGUAUAAGUACACGAAAAGACGGGUGAGAUUCCCGUCCGCCGAAAGCCUAAGGAUUCCUGGGUAAAGGUCAUCUGCCCAGGGUAAGUCGGCCCCUAAGACGAGGGCGAAAGCCGUAGUCGAUGGGAAACUGGUUCAGAUUCCAGUACCAUUCUUGGUAUUAUGGGAUGACGCGUGAGGUGAAACCCGGCCGGGCGACGGUUGCCCCGGUCGAAGUAUUAAGCUAAUGGAGACGGCGAAAACGUCUUCAGGUGAGAUACGACAGCGAGCUUGUUUACGGAUAAGCGAAGCGGGUGUAAUCAAGGCGCCAAGAAAUAAUCCCCACUAGUUAGGCCAAGAAGACCGUACCGCAAACCGACACAGGUAGGCGGGAUAAGCAAUCUAAGGCGCUCGAGAGAACUCGCGUUAAGGAACUCGGCAAAAUACGCACGUAACUUCGGGAGAAGUGCGGCCAUUGCAAGUUUUAGUAAUAAAGUUUCCGGUGGCGACACAAAGCAGUCCCAGGCGACUGUUUAUCAAAAACACAGGCCUCUGCCAACCAGC